AGCAGCCGCGGUAAUUCCAGCUCCAAUAGCGUAUAUUAAAGUUGUUGCAGUUAAAAAGCUCGUAGUUGAAUUUCGGGAUCAAUACGUCGGUCGUGCUUCGGUACGUACUGGCGUAAUUGAUUUCUCCCUUCUGACGAACCAUGAUGUCAUUAACUUGGUGUCAUGGGAAAUCAGGACUGUUACUUUGAAAAAAUUAGAGUGUUUAAAGCAGGCUCACGCUUGAAUACAUUAGCAUGGAAUAAUGAAAUAGGACGUUCGAUCCUAUUUUGUUGGUUUUUAGGAUCAACGUAAUGAUUAAUAGGGAUAGUUGGGGGCAUUAGUAUUCAAUUGUCAGAGGUGAAAUUCUUGGAUUUAUUGAAGACUAACUACUGCGAAAGCAUUUGCCAAGGAUGUUUUCAUUAAUCAAGACGAAAGUUAGGGGAUCGAAGACGAUCAGAUACCGUCGUAGUC
rnacentral:rRNA from 1 species